CUGGUACUCCCUCCGUCCGAAAAUACUUGUCAUCAAAAUGGAUAAAAAGAGAUGUAUCUAAAACUAAAAUACGUUUAGAUACAUUUCCUUUUACCAUUUUGAUGACAAGUAUUUCCGGACGGAGGGAGUACUAG
rfam:Triticum aestivum genome assembly, contig: Triticum_aestivum_CS42_TGACv1_scaffold_180326_2DS